rnacentral:rRNA from 1 species
AAUUAAUAAUUAAUUUUUUAAGUAAAAAAUUUAUUAAUAUUUAAAAUUAUAAAAAUAUUGAAUAGUUAUUUUAAUUAAAUUAAUAUAAUUAGAUUGAAUUAUAAGGAAAGUAAUGUAGAUGAAAUUUAUUAAAAUAUUAAAAAGGAAAUUUAAAUUAUUGUACUUUUUGUAUCAAGGAUUAUUAAAUUAUAAUUUUAUUAUAUAAAAGAUUUCGAAUUUAAAAGAGCAAAUAAAUUAUGAUAGUUAAUGUGGCAAAAUUAUUAUUAAUAAUUUAUUAGUAAAGAAAUUUUAGUCGUUUUUAAUGAUAUCUAGUUUUUUUUAAUUAAAUUUAAUUUAGUCUUUAUUAAGGAAAAUUUAUUAUUUAUAUAUAGGAAUUUUUUUAUUAAGAUAAUAAUUUAUGGGAUAAGCUAUAAAUUUUAUUAAAAUUGAAGUUACGAUUUUAAUUAAUAAUUAUAUUUAUAAAAUUUGAAAUUAAUGGAAAAAAUUUAAUAAUUUAUUUUAACAUAGUAAAUAAAAGAUUUAUAAUAUAUUAGUUUAAUAAAAUAAAAAAAGUGAAUUAGAAUUUUUAAAAUUAAGAUAUAAUGAUAAUAUCAGUAUAAAAUAUAUAUAUUAAAUAUUGAAUAAAAUAUGGAUAAUUUAAUUUAAGGAAUUCGGCAAAAUUAUUAAAUUCAACUGUUUAAUAAAAACAUAGCUUUUUGAUAAUAAUUUAAAGUUAUUUCUGCCCCCUGAUUAUUUUAAAUGGCUGCAGUAUUUUGACUGUGCUAAGGUAGCAUAAUCAUUUGUUUUUUAAUUGGAGACUGGUAUGAACGGAUAUAUGAGAUUUAAGCUGUCUUAAAUUAAGGUUUAAAAAUUAUUUGUUAAGUAAAAAAACUUAAGUGAUAGUAUGGGACGAGAAGACCCUAUAGAAUUUUAAAUAAAUUUUUAAAAAGUAGAGAUUAGAUUAUAGAAUUUAUAAAUAUUAUUUUUAGUUGGGGGGAUUGUUAAAUUAUAUAAACUUUAAUUAACAUAAAAUAUUAAUUAAUAAAUUUAGGAAUAAUUGAUUAAUUAAAUAAGAAUUAAUUACCUUAGGGAUAACAGCGUAAUAUUUUUAGAUAGGUCAUAUAAAUAAAAAUGAUUGCGACCUCGAUGUUGAAUUAAGAUAAAAAUUAGGUGAAGAAGCUUAAUAUUUAAGUCUGUUCGACUUUUGAUAUCUUACAUGAUUUGAGUUUAGAUCGAUGUGAGUCAGAUCGGUUUCUAUCUAUAUUUAAUUUUUAAAUAUUUGUACGAAAGGACUUUAUUUUUAUAAUAAAUUUAUUAGUAAUUAAAUAUCUUUAAUUAUUUUAAAAUAUAUCAUUACUUUGGCAGAGAUAAGUGCUUU